UACGUAGGGGGCAAGCGUUGUCCGGAUUUAUUGGGCGUAAAGAGCGUGUAGGCGGCCAUGUAGGUCCGUUGUGAAAACUCGAGGCUCAACCUCGAGACGCCGAUGGAAACCAUGUGGCUAGAGUCCGGAAGAGGAGAGUGGAAUUCCUGGUGUAGCGGUGAAAUGCGCAGAUAUCAGGAGGAACACCGGUGGCGAAGGCGGCUACCUGGACAGAAACUGACGCUGAGGCGCGAAAGCUAGGGGAGCAAACAGG
rnacentral:rRNA from 1 species